UGAAGUAAAACCAAUUUAUGGUGCCAACAAAAGCUUCAUCAAUGAAGGGCAACUACAACUCGUAGAAAGCUUCACACACUCUUGAUCAAGACUGUUCGAAGUAAAUUCAAUUUAUAUGGUUCAUCCAAACCUUCGACUACUACAAGGUAUGGCUUGCAUCACAAUCUCUUGCUCAACAGUGUGGAAGCAAAAUUUGUAUAUGUUAUCUCUCCCACAUUUUCAAAUUUCUAGUUUCCCAAAAAAAAAAAAGGAAAUUCAACAAAGCUUCAUCAAUGGAGGACAACUACAAAUUCUCAAAAGCUUCACACUAUCUUAAUCAAGAU
rnacentral:lncRNA from 1 species